rnacentral:rRNA from 1 species
UACGAGGGGGGCUAAUGUUGUUCGGAGUUACUGGGCGUAAAGGGUGUGUAGGCGGUUCUUUAAGUUUGGUGUGAAAUCUCCCGGCUCAACUGGGAGGGUGCGCCGAAUACUGAGGGACUAGAGUACGGGAGAGGAAAGUGGAAUUCCUGGUGUAGCGGUGAAAUGCGUAGAUAUCAGGAGGAACACCGGUGGUGUAGACGGCUUUCUGGACCGACACUGACGCUGAGACACGAAAGCGUGGGUAGCAAACAGG